UCAAAGGGCUCACAAUCUACAUUAGACAAAGAACAUGCAUAAGUAAAAGAUGGGAAGCAAAGAGCACAUAUGUACAGAUCACAAAACCUAAGGACACAUAUCCCUUGAAGAUGGAUAAACAACCAGAAUGGAUGUAUUUUCACAACAGGAAAUCUUUAACACCAAUUUUUUUAAUGGAGAGGGAAGAAGGAUCUAAUGCAGAUGAUAUUCCUCCAGGUCAUCAAAGUGAAAGGCAAUGAAGUGAAGUCAUAAGAGGUCUUCAGAGAACUCUAAGCAGGAUGGAGAAGAAACAGCCCAGUCAUCUACCUAUAAGCUCUUCUGAAGCACCCCUUGUUCUGGAUCUAAGGAAAGGGACAAGAGAGAAAAUCUGAGUGGAGGCAGAGUGAGUGUGUGCUUUCAUUCUUCCUGACAUCUCCCAAAAUUUCCUGGUUUACAAACAGGAUCAGGAAUGCAUUUCCUUUCAUUCUUCAAUGGACAAACUCACCCUGCAAGUCAUUUCCCCCCUUUCGUCUUCCCAAUGGACUCUCUUGCUUUUUCAUAGCAUCCUUUUUACAUUUCCUGUUUUAGCCCUCUUUGCUCUUUUACUGAAACUAAAAUGAAUUAUGUUAGUGUUGCUGUUGCUGUAGUCAUUUAGCAAUAUUCAUUAACUAACUCCCUCCCUCCUUCCCAAUCUCCCUCUCCCGCUCCCUCUCUCUCUUUCUACAGGAACCUUUUUAUCCUUCUAACAAACUCAUGAGACACCUGAACUCAAUACAUAGCUAGUUGGCACUCUCACAAUGCUUGCUUUGAAUACUCACUUGUCCCAAAGUUCUAGCCUGGUCUAAUUAAAUAAUAGCAAUUAUAUUAAUGAUACGAGUUCUGAGCAAGAUUUGAUUUAUUCUUUGUUCUUUCACUGCUGUUGACACAGUAUGAUUAUCAUCCAAGAUUCACCUGUACCAGCUUUCCUUGCAAUCAGACAUUCCAUAUUGUACUAUACUAAUCAUGGGACCCUUCUACUCAGGAUGCACCAAUUUGUUAGUUUUC